AUUGAACGCUGGCGGCAGGCCUAACACAUGCAAGUCGAGCGGCAGCGGGAAAGUAGCUUGCUACUUUUGCCGGCGAGCGGCGGACGGGUGAGUAAUGCCUGGGAAAUUGCCCAGUCGAGGGGGAUAACAGUUGGAAACGACUGCUAAUACCGCAUACGCCCUACGGGGGAAAGCAGGGGACCUCCGGGCCUUGCGCGAUUGGAUAUGCCCAGGUGGGAUUAGCUAGUUGGUGAGGUAAUGGCUCACCAAGGCGACGAUCCCUAGCUGGUCUGAGAGGAUGAUCAGCCACACUGGAACUGAGACACGGUCCAGACUCCUACGGGAGGCAGCAGUGGGGAAUAUUGCACAAUGGGGGAAACCCUGAUGCAGCCAUGCCGCGUGUGUGAAGAAGGCCUUCGGGUUGUAAAGCACUUUCAGCGAGGAGGAAAGGUCAGUAGCUAAUAUCUGCUGGCUGUGACGUUACUCGCAGAAGAAGCACCGGCUAACUCCGUGCCAGCCGCCGCCGUAACAC
rnacentral:rRNA from 1 species